CGGGAUUUAGUGGAUCAGCUGUUGAUUUAUGUAAAAUACUGGCCUGCUAAGUCCCAAA
rnacentral:pre_miRNA from 1 species